CCCAACGCCCCCCUUGAUCCACAUUGUCCCCAAUGUCCCCAGUGCCCCCAUUGCCCCCAUUGACCCCAAUGUCCCCAUUGUCCCCAACACCCCCGUUGUCCACACUGACCCCAACACCCCCAACGUGCCCAAUGUCCCCAAUGCCCCCAUUGACCCCAACGCCCCCAUUGUCCCCAAUGUCCCCAAUGCCCCCAUUGACCCCAAUGUACCCAAUGCCCCAAUGAUCCCCAUUGACCCCAUUGUCCCCAUUGUCUCCAUUGUCCCCAAUGCCCCCAUUGACCCCAUUGUCCCCAACACUCUCAUUGUCCCCAACACUCUCAUUGUCCCCAACGCCCCCAUUUGUCCCCAUUGUCCCCAACGCCCCCAUUGUCCCCAAUGCCCCCAUUGUCCCCAUGUCCCUACCGGGCAGUGUGAGCAGUGACUGCAGUGGGACACACGAUGUCACCCCCGCUGGCGUCGGUGACACAAUCGCUCCACAGCCCGCGGGUGUUGGUGACAGACGCCACCACCGUCACCUGCCCCCCCCCCACCCCCCAGGCACUGUGGGGCAGAGAGGAAACCAACAGCGCCCACCCCACAGCGCCCAGGGCCACCCCCAGGGCCACCCCCCAGGUGACGGGGGGGGACAUGGGGACAACGGUGGGGACGGAGGGGCGGUAUGGGGGCAGAGGGGGAGAUUUGGGGUCAGGGGUGGGGAUGGAGGGAUAAUAUGGGGGCAGAGGGGGAGAUUUGGGGUCAGGGGUGGGGAUGGAGGGAUAAUAUGGGGGCAGAGGGGGAGAUUUGGGGUCAAAGGGACAAAUUUGGGGUCAGGGGAUGGGGACUGAGGGACAAUAUGGGGUCAGGGAUGGGGAUGGAGGGACAGAUUUGGGGUCAAAGGGACAAAUUUGGGGUCAGGGAUGGGGAUGGAGGGGCAAAAUUGGGGCCAAAGGGGCAAAUUUGGGGUGAGGGGUGGGGAAAGAGGGAGAAAUUUGGGGUCAAAGGGGCAAAUGUGGGGUCAGGGAUGGGGACAAAGUUGGGGACAGAUAUGGGGUCAGGAAUGGGGUCAGGAAUGGGGUCAGGAGGACUCACGGUCCCGCAGCGGUGGUGGCACUGCGGGCUGCGGUGCC
rnacentral:lncRNA from 1 species